GACGAACGCUGGCGGCGUGCCUAAUACAUGCAAGUAGAACGCACAGUUUAUACCGUAGCUUGCUACACCAUAGACUGUGAGUUGCGAACGGGUGAGUAACGCGUAGGUAACCUGCCUGGUAGCGGGGGAUAACUAUUGGAAGCGAUAGCUAAUACCGCAUAAUAUUAAUUAUUGCAUGAUAAUUAAUUGAAAGGUGCAAUUGCACCACUACCAGAUGGACCUGCGUUGUAUUAGCUAGUAGGUGAGGUAACGGCUCACCUAGGCGACGAUACAUAGCCGACCUGAGAGGGUGAUCGGCCACGCUGGGACUGAGACACGGCCCAGACUCCUACGGGAGGCAGCAGUAGGGAAUCUUCGGCAAUGGACGAAAGUCUGACCGAGCAACGCCGCGUGAGUGAAGAAGGUUUUCGGAUCGUAAAGCUCUGUUGUAAGAGAAGAACGGGUGUGAGAGUGGAAAGUUCACACUGUGACGGUAUCUUACCAGAAAGGGACGGCUAACUACGUG
rnacentral:rRNA from 1 species